rnacentral:rRNA from 1 species
GACGAACCGUGCAAACGUUGUUCGGAAUCACUGGGCUUAAAGGGCUCGUAGGCGGCCAACUAAGUCGGAUGUGAAAUCCCCAACUUAACCUGGGAACUGCAUCCGAUACUGGUCGGCUUGAAUCCGGGAGAGGGAUGCAGAAUUCCAGGUGUAGCGGUGAAAUGCGUAGAUAUCUGGAGGAAUACCGGUGGCGAAGGCGGCAUCCUGGACCGGCAUUGACGCUGAACAGCGAAAGCUAGGGGAGCAAACGGG